rnacentral:rRNA from 1 species
UACAGAGGGUGCGAGCGUUGUUCGGAAUCACUGGGCUUAAAGCGCGUGUAGGCGGGACGGCACGUCGGUAGCUGAAAUCCCCCGGCUCAACCGGGGAACGGGCGCCGAUACGACCGCCCUCGAGGGACGUAGGGGGACCUGGAACUUCCGGUGGAGCGGUGAAAUGCGUUGAGAUCGGAAGGAACGCCCGUGGCGAAAGCGAGGUCCUGGACGUUUUCUGACGCUGAGACGCGAAAGCCAGGGGAGCGAACGGG